rnacentral:rRNA from 1 species
AACGAACGCUGGCGGCAGGCUUAACACAUGCAAGUCGAGCGCCCCGCAAGGGGAGCGGCAGACGGGUGCGUAACGCGUGGGAACGUACCUUUUGGUUCGGAACAACUCCGGGAAACUGGAGCUAAUACCGGAUAAGCCCUAACGGGGAAAGAUUUAUCGCCGAAAGCUCGGCCCGCGUCUGAUUAGCUAGUUGGUGAGGUAACGGCUCACCAAGGCGACGAUCAGUAGCUGGUCUGAGAGGAUGAUCAGCCACACUGGGACUGAGACACGGCCCAGACUCCUACGGGAGGCAGCAGUGGGGAAUAUUGGACAAUGGGCGCAAGCCUGAUCCAGCCAUGCCGCGUGAGUGAUGAAGGCCUUAGGGUUAUAAAGCUCUUUUGUCCGGGAAGAUAAUGACUGUACCGGAAGAAUAAGCCCCGGCUAACUUCGUG